rnacentral:rRNA from 1 species
AUUGAACGCUGGCGGCAGGCCUAACACAUGCAAGUCGAACGAGGGGCGGACGGGUGAGUAAUGUCUGGGACACUGCCCGAUGGAGGGGGUUAACUACUGGAAACGGUAGCUAAUACCGCAUACCAUCGGAUGUGCCCAGAUGGGAUUAGCUAGUAGGUGGGGUAACGGCUCACCUAGGCGACGAUCCCUAGCUGGUCUGAGAGGAUGACCGGCCAAACUGGAACUGAGACACGGGCCAGACUCCUACGGGAGGCAGCAGUGGGGAAUAUUGCACAAUGGGCGAAAGCCUGAUGCAGCAAUGCCGCGUGUAUGAAGAAGGCCUUCGGGUUGUAAAGUACUUUCAGCGAGGAGGCGUUACUCGCAGAAGAAGCACCGGCUAACUCCGUGCCAGCAGCCGCGGUAAUUC